rnacentral:tRNA from 1 species
ACUUCUAUGGUUUAGUGGUAAAGACAUUAGGUUUUCAACCUAAAGACGGGAGUUCAAGUCUCCUUAGGAGUG